GUAUUGGGUUAUGCAUGUUUAUGGUUUACGCAAAGCGUAUAAGGAAAGUUUAAGCAGUUGUACAAAGCCGAAGGGUUCUCCGACUUACGAUGGAUAAAUUGAGUGUCGUAAAAGCUUGGGUGCGAGCAAGUAGGAGGAGAAUUUCGAUCGAAGUACAGAUUUUUUUGAAUUCGAGGAUAAUGAUGUUAUUACCAGCUGAUUAAGGAGGAGUAGUGUAAGUGUCAGAUAGGUACGAACGUCAUCUUGUGACAGCAUCACCUUUGUUUGGAAAGCAUAUAAUUUGGAAAAGAGACCAUCAAUCCACUGGGGGGUAUCGCAUGAAAGCAAUGAUUAUAGAAUAUUGUAAGGCUGGAGGAGUUGUAGUACAACA